CAGGUGGCCGCGAAAUUACCAAAUAAAGCUAUGAAAUGCUGAGAAUAGUAUAAAAUAAGUAGAGUUUCUAUGAAGCUGAUAUUCCAUUUUAUAUUUCAAAUAAAUUUUUUGAUUUCGUUGUGAAAAGUAAUAACAAACCUCUUGAUCGAUUCGUCCAAUCAUGAUCGUUCACUAAAUUUACAUUUAGAAUAUGAGAUCACUUUUAACUCAUACACAUUCAACGCAAUUUGCCAGUUGAACUCGAUUCAACACAGAACCACUCGCGAACUAAGCAUCUACGUAUAUCAGAUUUCAAGUUAAAAAAUUUAUCGGAAUACGCAAUUGUAUACAACAUAUCCAACCAAGAAAGUUAUUUAAAUUGGAAGAAUGUGUGAUCGAGGUUGAGGCAUAUGAGGAUGAUAAUGAAUCAAUUGAAAGCAUUCCGACUAGUGGCGAAUCAUCACAACCGACAACAUUCACUGUCACAAAUAACACUAUUUAGUUUAAAACUUCAAAAAUUCAAAUAUUUUUCGACGUUCUGGACAACAUACUCGUAUGAGUGUAGAAACUAUCGAUUAGUGAAACAUUCCCUGUUACGGAUGAUGAAAUUGUUACACCAACAAAAUCAAUUGCAAGAACUAGUUCCUCUAUCAGCACCUUUACUGGUAACAGCCCAAUAGAGGGAACAAAAAAACCUGUUAAGGUGUACGGAAGCGAUUAUUUCAAGCCCUUGUUGAAGAGCCUUCUCCUCGAGUAUCCUGUAUGAACCAUCAAUAUCGACUGCUAUGGAAACAGAUAACAGAUAAAAUGUCAAAAACAAAAUAAAAAUUAUAAUAAUCA